UUAUUUUAUUUCAUUUUAUUUUUGUUACAGUUGCCAAAUGAACAGUUCUUCAUUUAUUUUUCAUCUAUGAGUUUCCAUAAUAACUUUGGUUGUCGGUAUAAAAAUUUUAAGCCAAAAAGAUAACAAAGUUGCCAUAACAAGUUUUUCUUGAAUUGUCAACAUUUUCCUUUUCUUUUUCCCUUGUACUUGAACUUACAAAAAAUUUUGAUGAUUCUGUAACAAAUAUGCAUAUAAAAUCUCAUUCCAUGUAUCUGGAACUCCUGGUAAACACCAGUGAAUACAAUCGGCAAAUAUUUUUGGAUCAGAUCUCUGUUCGUUUGUCAACAGCUUGCCCCUUCUUUCCCCAUAAAUUGUUGUGUGUGCAUCUUUCCUAUACUCUGACAACUGGGUAAUAUUCAAAAACGUUACAUUGAUUUUUAAUUCUUGCAAGACGUCACCAACUGUCUUCAUGAUCUGGAGAUUUGAACCCGUUCCCCAAUAUGGUCCUUCAAUUGGGUAGGAUUCAUUGAAGCAGUUUUCAUCGCUUCCAGGUUUCCAUUCCCAGCUCCUACAAUAGAAUGUUUGUUAUGAAUUUCUCUCAAUAGAAUGCUUCAUCCAAAAUCUAUCUUGGCUUCAAAAAGUGGAAGUCGGAAUGAGAUGAAAAGAGAAGCGUGUCUACUCACCACAGGUGUGUUGGAGAUAUACUCAUGAAGAAAACCUUCUGCUUGCGGGGGUCGAUAUUGGAUUCUAACCAAUUUGUCCAAGUUUCUAAUGCCAACUUGUAUGCAGUGGUGACAUUAUAUUCUUGAAUAUCAUCGGCUGACCCAUAACUGAAACAAACGCCACGUGGUAAAUAAAUGACGACAUGCGCUAAUGCAAUUUAAAUCAAGCCAUUUUAACCAAGUUACAUGAACCUGUAUUGGUAAUUGGAUUAAUUAAUUAAUUAUUUUUUACCGAUUAUUUGAAUUUGUAUCGGUAAAUAGAUAUUGGAAUAUACACGCAAGGAUUGAAUGCAUACGUAGCAUUAAUAAGAGGCUUGUGCAUCCACCAGACACAGCUCUCAAACACCAAAACAUCAACUCCUUCCCAGCUCUUGCCAUGUUUGGCUAUGGAGUCGAGAUUAACGAGCCGUUUUAGUACUGGAUGAUUCGUGGCAUGAUCUGAAAUAGACUCCACGAUGAAGGGAGCCCAAUAAUACUCGAUUGAUGCAUUGAACUCCUCAGCUUUGAAGAUCUUCAUUGGUGGAAUCCUGUGAAAGGAUUUUUUCCCGUCAGGAAUUGCAGAUUGCACCAUGCAGACCAUAGAUUCAAAUUGGCCUCUUUGCACCGAGUCUCCUAUAAACAUCAGCCUUUUGCCCCUCAAAAUGUCCAGCAGCUUUAGUGGAUCAAACCUUGGCAAUGUGCAUUGGUUAGGCUUCCACCUCCAGUUCUGGUAGUAAGAAUCAGGUCUACCAUUUCUUUGACAAGUGGUUUGUUUAACCAAGUAAGGGCAACUCUCUUCUCUGUAUAAAGGAUGGGAUACAUUGUCCCACACCCAUUGCCCUUCAAAGACAUUGCAGCCUUCCUCAAAGCGAUCUUUAGGCAAAACAAAGACUGGUUUUUCCCGGUCUUGCCUUCCAUUAUAUAGUCUACAAUUAUGGCUCUUUAGAAUAUCUAGGACUAAUCUUGCAGUUCCUAGAACAAGAAUAGAAGCUAAUACCACAGAGAAGAGGGAUUGAAUCCGGCGAUCCAGAGAAGGCUGGAUCAUGAUUUAGGUUAGGGUGGAUAAAGG
rnacentral:misc_RNA from 1 species